rnacentral:rRNA from 1 species
GUCUCCGGCCAUAGACCCUGAACGCGUGGGAUCUCGUACAAGCUCGGAGGCUAAGCAGGGUCAGGCCUGGUUAGCACUUGGAUGGGAGCCCACCGGGUACUGCAGGCU